rnacentral:rRNA from 1 species
CCUCACCUUUCCUUGUUUUUUCCGCCUAUAUACCACCGUCGUCAGCUUACCCUAUGAAGGACUCAUAGUAAGCAAGAUUGGCACAGCCCAAAACGUCAGGUCGAGGUGUAGCGUAUGGAAAGGGAAGAAAUGGGCUACAUUCCCUAAUACAGUGAAAUACGAACGAUAAACUGAAAUACGUAUCUGAAGGAGGAUUUAGCAGUAAGCAGAAAAUAGAGCGUUCCGCUGAAAUCGGCCCUGAAGCGCGCACACACCGCCCGUCACUCUCCCCAAGCUUAAUAACCCCUAGUUCCUAAAACCUAAAAACUGCAAAGGGGAGGCAAGUCGUAACAUGGUAAGUGUACCGGAAGGUGCACUUGGAAAAAU